UACGUAGGGGGCAAGCGUUGUCCGGAUUUAUUGGGCGUAAAAGGCUUGUAGGUGGCCACGCCAGGUCGGAUGUGAAAUCUCCCGGCUCAACUGGGAGGGGUCAUUCGAUACUGGUGGGCUCGAGGCCGGUAGGGGGAAGCGGAAUUCCCGGUGUAGUGGUGGAAUGCGUAGAUAUCGGGAGGAACACCAGUGGCGAAGGCGGCUUCCUGGACCGGUUCUGACACUGAGGAGCGAAAGCGUGGGGAGCGAUCCGG
rnacentral:rRNA from 1 species